rnacentral:lncRNA from 1 species
GUAGAGCUGCAGUCUGUCAGUGAGACUCGGUCUGACUUUCUUCUGAAACUGGACUUUAGAGAAAUGAUGCUCAUCUUUGGACUGAUGCUGCUGCUGCAAACUGCUGCAUGUCUGGAUCGGUUCUGCAGGUUUAAUCAAACAAAUCCCUGUUACGCAGCUCUGGAAGACAAACUUAGUCUGCAGAUGUUGGACGCUAGCAAAUAUAACCUGAAGAUCAUAAAGAGAAUAAACAGCACACAUGAUGGUCCAGUUUGUAGAAUAAGGAAUGACACAAUGAGGAUGAGUGAAUGUGAUCUUUAUAAUAACAGAUCUGAAGUGACCGUCAUUAAUGGGACUCUGAUAAUAAACCGUGUGAUCAGAGCAGAUUCAGGGAAUUACAGAUUAAAACUCGAUAGCUCAGACGGCACAGAAACAUCUAGAGAUCUUCAAGUGAUUGUUGAAGAUCAUCCAGUGGCUCUGAUCAUUUUGGGAAGUCUUGCUGUAAUUCUUAUUGUUCUGGUCAUCAUCGCAUAUUACGUUUACAAGAAGAAGAAUCAGCUCAAACCCACAAAUGUGGAAAAUGCCUCGUCAGGCCCUCAGACAAACAGGAAUGAGAAGAAGGAGCAGGAGCUUCAUUACGGAGAAGUGACGUUCACCGACAGAAAGGUUCAACAGCAGCCGAGUAAAACACAGGAGGAGUGUUUGUACGCUCAGGUGCAGACGCGCUAGUGUGAACACCACCACAAAACCACCUGCGGUCAAUGCAUAGUGUGACUUCACACUUCACUGUCAUGAAGACUCAACAGGACAGCUUUUGGCUGCUUAUGAUGAAAUGCUCGGCUUAUUGCACAUUUUCUUUCCUGUGUGGCAACAGAAAAACACAGCGUCUGAUCCAGAACAGAAAUAUAAAAGGAUGAACACUGACUGACUUUCCAAUAAAGCCGCUGAAGGAAAUCAUGACUGCUGUGAACAAUGAAUAACUUGUACUACAUAAGUCAUUGUUUUUUAUAUAAAAUAUCUUUCUGUGACAUACGGUACUAUGCAAUAAAAAUACACUGCAUGUACAUGCUGCCUUUUCCUCCACUUUGUCGCCACCUAGUGAACAAAAAAUC